rnacentral:rRNA from 1 species
AGCCAGACUCCUACGGGAGGCAGCAGUGGGGAAUAUUGCACAAUGGGGGAAACCCUGAUGCAGCGACGCCGCGUGAGCGAUGAAGUAUUUCGGUAUGUAAAGCUCUAUCAGCAGGGAAGAAGAUGACGGUACCUGACUAAGAAGCCCCGGCUAACUACGUGCCAGCAGCCGCGGUAAUACGUAGGGGGCAAGCGUUAUCCGGAUUUACUGGGUGUAAAGGGAGCGUAGACGGCGAUGCAAGCCAGAUGUGAAAGCCCGGGGCUCAACCCCGGGACUGCAUUUGGAACUGGCAAACUGGAGUGUGUGGGAGGAUAGUGGAAUUCCAGGUGUAGGAGUGAAAUCCGUAGAUAUCUGGAGGAACAUCAGUGGCGAAGGCGACUAUCUGGCACAUAACUGACGCUGAGGAGCGAAAGCGUGGGUAGCAAACAGGAUUAGAUACCCCCGUA